CAGGCCCUGAAGGCAUUUAUAGGGUUGCUGUUGUGUCACAAGUGCGUCGGUAGGUAGCACAGAAAAGAUGAGGCGAUGUUCAUGCUUGGCGUUCUGACCUGUGAACUAAUCUGAAUGAUCAGUAGCCUAACAUU
rnacentral:snoRNA from 1 species